GACGUAGGGCGCGAGCGUUGUCCGGAUUUAUUGGGCGUAAAGGGCUCGUAGGUGGCCAACUAAGUCAGACGUGAAAUCCCUCGGCUUAACCGGGGAACUGCGUCUGAUACUGGAUGGCUUGAGUUUGGGAGAGGGAUGCGGAAUUCCAGGUGUAGCGGUGAAAUGCGUAGAUAUCUGGAGGAACACCGGUGGCGAAGGCGGCAUCCUGGACCAACACUGACACUGAGGAGCGAAAGCCAGGGGAGCAAACGGG
rnacentral:rRNA from 1 species